UACGUAGGGUGCAAGCGUUGUUCGGAGUUACUGGGCGUAAAGAGUGCGUAGGCGGUUCCGUAAGUUUGUUGUGAAAUCUCCCGGCUUAACUGGGAGGGUGCGGCGAAAACUGCGGGGCUGGAGUAUGGGAGAGGCAGGCGGAAUUCCUGGUGUAGCGGUGAAAUGCGUAGAUAUCUGGAGGAACACCGGUGGCGAAGGCGGCAUCCUGGACCGGUAUUGACGCUGAGGCGCGAAAGCUAGGGGAGCAAACGGGG
rnacentral:rRNA from 1 species